rnacentral:lncRNA from 1 species
CCUAAAUCAGUGGAACUUGUUUCUUCAAACUCUUCCGGCAGUAAUUCUAACACUGUAGGUGAAAAACAGAGAGGAACAAGCACGUUGUUCCAGAAAAACGUGUGAAGAAGCUAAAGCCUGGUGACACUUCUAGAGCUCUGGCCUCUUCCAAGCAGAGGAGCAGCGUAGACUGGAAAGACGAAAUAUGUCAGUGUUUGCAAUUUUGCGAAAAAUUCUAAUUGAUAUUAGAGAAUACUGGAUGGACACAGAAGGUGAAAUGAAGGGGGAAAGGUAUGUCUUUAAACACGGCGCAAUGAGCCAGGGGAAGGAACAGAUCUCUGACGUAGAUGGUGCAGGAAGGAAGC